AGAGUUUGAUCCUGGCUCAGGAUGAACGUUAGUAGCACGCCUAACACAUGCAAGUCGAGCGGAAAAUAGCAAUAUUUUUAGCGGCGAACGGGUGAGUAAUACUUAUCUUACCUACCGAUUAGUGGGGGAUAGAAUUCCGCAUAUUAUGAGUAAUCAUGAAAGUGUCUUCGGAUUCGCUAAUUGAUGGGGAUAAGGCGUAU
rnacentral:rRNA from 1 species